rnacentral:rRNA from 1 species
UUGAACGCUGGCGGCAUGCUUUACACCUGCAAGUCGAACGGUAACAGGCCUUCGGGUGCUGACGAGUGGCGAACGGGUGAGUAAUGCAUCGGAACGUGCCCAGAGGUGGGGGAUAACGCAGCGAAAGCUGUGCUAAUACCGCAUGUGAUCUGAGGAUGAAAGCGGGGGACCAGGCAGCAAUGUUUGGCCUCGCGCCUUUGGAGCGGCCGAUGUCAGAUUAGGUAGUUGGUGGGGUAAAGGCCUACCAAGCCGACGAUCUGUAGCUGGUCUGAGAGGACGACCAGCCACACUGGGACUGAGACACGGCCCAGACUCCUACGGGAGGCAGCAGUGGGGAAUUUUGGACAAUGGGCGCAAGCCUGAUCCAGCAAUGCCGCGUGCGGGAAGAAGGCCUUCGGGUUGUAAACCGCUUUUGUACGGAACGAAAAGGCUCUGGCUAAUACCUGGGGCUGAUGACGGUACCGUAAGAAUAAGCACCGGCUAACUACGUG